AACAGUAGCAAAGCAUUAAAAGGAGAAAACUAGGCAUUAAAAAUCAUUGCUCAUGAGGGGCAAUAAACGCAAUCUUUAUCAGAUCAAAAGAUGUGGGAUGAAAACCAAAACAUUAGCAAUGACCUUGAACAUGAUCAUGAACUGAUAGCCUAAACAGUUUUAGGUUUAUUACUUUCAGCUAUGGCCUUAUAUAUACUUAAAAAUGAUCCAUGCAUGGAACGUAAAACAAUUGGGCCAGGACAUGCUUCUUCACUUUAAGUUGCUGCUACCUUAGAAAGACUGCAGGAGAGAUGCAAAUAUCAUGAAUUUCCAGUAAUAUACUUUUUUCUAAUGUGUGCCUAAGAAGCAAAUUGACUAUGCAUGUCCCCAGUAGUUUCUUGUUAGGUUUGCAGUAAACUUGGUGAAAAAGGAAGGGUUGUUAUAUGAAGAUGCAUGCAUUACCUCUUUUCCCCAAAUAUUAAAGCUCUAGCUGCACUGAAGGAGAAAAUUAAUGAUACUCAGGUUAACCAAGUUAGUCUUUGCGGUGAAACAAGCCCUAUGUCCCAUCCACAUUUUCUAAAGUUAUGGAAGAUGAUUUCUUUUCAAUGCCUAAACCUAAGCAAAAGAAACUUUCCCUUUCAGCACUUCCUUUUUCCUAUCUCAAUAUUACAAGAUACAAUAUAAAAAAAAAAAGAAAGAAAGAUAAGUAUCAUCCCAUAGGAGAACAAUAAAUUAUAACAGCACAUAAAAUAAGAAGAUCCCUCACUAGAAAAACAAAGCAAAAGCUAAUCCUGGCUACUGAUUCUUCUUCAAUUAAAGAUUUUAUCCUCAGCAUGGAUUCUAAUGCCUGUCUUUGAACAAAAAAAUGGAGAUGUAUAUGCCGGAUCUAACCUAAUGUACAAGACACCUGAAGCAACAAUCCAAACUGCCGAAGAUAUUAUCUCCCAUGAUUAUGGGAUUUUAUUGCUUAUGAUCAAUCAAGUUUGAAUAGAUUAACUAAAAUAAAAUAUAGGAUAUGAGUUGGUUACGUAAUCCCUAAAAUCAUGGUUCUAUUACCUUAACUUGUGGCAGAACUGUGAUAGGGUUGUCCUAUAAAUGCGUACCUUGUAAGCAUAUUCGGUGUGUGGGAAAAUAAAGAAAAGCAGAGUUUUGUUUAUUUCCUUUUCUUUUUUAAAGUUUACACAAACUUACCAUGGAAUUAAAAGCAGCUUGCACAGGAAUAUUGGUAUUUUGCCCGACAACCUUGUUCUAUUCAAUACCUUCCAGAAAAUAUUUAUAUUGCUUUCCAAGCAGCACGAAGAAAAAAGAGCAAACCCAGCAAUGACAUUGGUCAAUAGGAGACAUGCCUCACUAGCACUGACCUUUAUAAAAUAAACAAAGCAUUCUUAUUCAAAACCCACCAUCUUAAGCAAUUGACUUGUUUAUUGAAAGAAGUGUUAAUCGUCUGUGAUUGUUCGACCCAUGGAAAGGAUACCUUUUGAAUCCCUCUGAACCUACUUUACACCAAAGAGCAAUGAACUGCAUCUCUAAUGCAUUGAAUCUUGGAUGAUUGUAACAGAUCUGACAGAUUGUCAGAUCAACAUUGUGAUUCCUAUUUGUAUCACAUAUAACUACCCAUCAAGCACAUAUUCAGAAGUGAUUACCUGGUUUAGAGCAUAAACUGAUCACAAGCAUCCUUCACCAAGAAUCAUGAAUCAUAAUACAGGGGUUUGUCAGUCGAGGAAACUCUAAGUUUGACAAUGGCAAGAACAAGGACUAGAGUAAAAAGAACCAAGGGAUUUUAACUGCUAAGACAAAUAAACCUUAAACUGUCUUGGAAAAAAAAUUGAAAAAGAAACUUUCAAUAAGAUGCAUCUUUCUGUUUCUCCCAAAGACACAAGUCAUUCACCUUUUUUUCCCUAAACCUUCUUUCAGAACUUCAAUGCUCAACUUUUAAUAUAUCAACUAGUUUCACCCGAUCUGUUGGAAGUCAUACCUGAAAGUAUUCUUCAAAUAUUUCAAGCCAAUCAACAACAGCUCAACCAUGGCUUUUUGCUAAGAUCAGGUUGAUCUCAAGAACAGAGAUGUGAAUGAAGAAAGCUACCCAAUGACACCAUUGGAAAAUUGUGCCAAAAUGUAAACACUGAGCUUAGGCAUUGAAAGUCCAGAGUUCCAAGAGUGGCAACAAUCGACGGCUUGAUUAAUCCAGUAUUAUCCCUUUUCUGAUGGAAUCUCUCACAAGGGAUGACUAGUCCCACUAGAACGUGUUAUCCCACAUGUGUAGGAUAAAAUUACACCAUCCAGGGGCACAAGGAAAUUUUUUGAAGGACGGCAAUAUGAAGCCUGACACAUAAUUUUUUUCUACCUGGCCCUCAAUAAGGACAUUUGUAAGUUUCUUUUGGUUCUCUCUUGGCAAUAUCUUAUCAAUUAUGUAGAGCAAACAAAAAAGCAGAAUCACGGCCUUAAAAUGGAUUAAGAGCCUAGGAGUCCUUCUGAGAUAAAUCAUUUGUCACUGUAGUCUGUGAACUCAACAACCUAAUUGUGCAGAAUUGAAGCUGCAGUCAUUGGCUAAUGGACUCUUUGCAUAUUGUGUUCCAUCAAUGGCUUAUGAACUGCCUGAA